CCUACGGGAGGCAGCAGUUAGGAAUAUUGGACAAUGGGCGCAAGCCUGAUCCAGCCAUGCCGCGUGAGUGAUGAAGGCCUUCGGGUUGUAAAGCUCUUUAGCCGAUGAUUAUAAUGACUGUAGUCGGAAAAUAAGCUCCGGCUAACUUCGUGCCAGCAGCCGCGGUAAUACGAAGGGGGCGAGCGUUAUUCGGAAUCACUGGGCGUAAAGCGUGCGUAGGUGGCUAUGUAAGUUAGAAGUGAAAGCCCAGGGCUCAACCUUGGAAUUGCUUUUAAAACUACAUAGCUCGAAUCUCGGAGAGGACAGCGGAAUUUCCAGUGUAGCAGUGAAAUGCGUAGAUAUUGGAAGGAACACCAGUGGCGUAAGCGGCUGUCUGGACGAGUAUUGACACUGAGGCACGAAAGCGUGGGGAUCAAACAGGAUUAGAUACCCUGGUAGUCCACGCUGUAAACGAUGUGUGCUUGUCGCUGGGGAGUCUACUCUCGUGAGGAGCUACGACGUAGCACACCGCCGNGGAGACGGCCGCGAAGUAAACGUUAAAUAGAAGUAGACGCGNGAGAGNGCGAGACGACACGAGGGAGAGG
rnacentral:rRNA from 1 species